rnacentral:rRNA from 1 species
AACGAACGCUGGCGGCAGGCUUCAUACAUGCAAGUCGAGCGGUAAGGGCUCCGAAAGGGGCCCCUAGAGCGGCGGACGGGUGAGUAAUGCCUAGGAAUCUGCCUGGUAGUGGGGGAUAACGUUCGGAAACGGACGCUAAUACCGCAUACGUCCUACGGGAGAAAGCAGGGGACCUUCGGGCCUUGCGCUAUCAGAUGAGCCUAGGUCGGAUUAGCUAGUUGGUGAGGUAAUGGCUCACCAAGGCGACGAUCCGUAACUGGUCUGAGAGGAUGAUCAGUCACACUGGAACUGAGACACGGUCCAGACUCCUACGGGAGGCUG